GGGAAUAUUGCGCAAUGGGCGAAAGCCUGACGCAGCAACGCCGCGUGAGUGAUGAAGGCCUUCGGGUCGUAAAGCUCUGUCGGGGGGAACGAAAGAUUUCGGGGUUAAGAGCCUCGGGAAGUGACGGUACCCUCAAAGGAAGCACCGGCUAACUCUGUGCCAGCAGCCGCGGUGACACGUAGGCACCAAGCGUUAUCCGGAUUUAUUGGGCGUAAAGAGCUCGUAGGCGGUUCGGUAAGUCGGGUGUGAAAACUCUGGGCUCAACCCAGAGAGGCCACCCGAUACUGCUGUGACUAGAGUGCGGUAGGGGAGCGGGGAAUUCCUGGUGUAGCGGUGAAAUGCGCAGAUAUCAGGAGGAACACCAGCGGCGAAGGCGCCGCUCUGGGCCGUAACUGGCGCUGAGGAGCGAAAGCAUGGGUAGCAAA
rnacentral:rRNA from 1 species